rnacentral:rRNA from 1 species
GCGGCAACAGCUCAAAUUUGAAAUCUGGCGUCUUUGGCGUCCGAGUUGUAAUUUGCAGAGGGCGCUUUGGCAUUGGCAGCGGUCCAAGUUCCUUGGAACAGGACGUCACAGAGGGUGAGAAUCCCGUACGUGGUCGCUAGCCUUUACCGUGUAAAGCCCCUUCGACGAGUCGAGUUGUUUGGGAAUGCAGCUCUAAAUGGGAGGUAAAUUUCUUCUAAAGCUAAAUACUGGCCAGAGACCGAUAGCGCACAAGUAGAGUGAUCGAAAGAUGAAAAGCACUUUGGAAAGAGAGUUAAAAAGCACGUGAAAUUGUUGAAAGGGAAGCGCUUGCAGCCAGACUUGCCUGUAGUUGCUCAUCCGGGUUUUUACCCGGUGCACUCUUCUAUAGGCAGGCCAGCAUCAGUUUGGGCGGUUGGAUAAAGGUCUCUGUCAUGUACCUCUCUUCGGGGAGAACUUAUAGGGGAGACGACAUGCAACCAGCCUGGACUGAGGUCCGCGCAUCUGCUAGGAUGCUGGCGUAAUGGCUGUAAGCGGCCCGUCUUGAAACACGGACCAAGGAGUCUAACAUCUAUGCGAGUGUUUGGGUGUCAAGCCCGAGCGCGUAAUGAAAGUGAACGGAGGUGGGAACCUUUCGGGGUGCACCAUCGACCGAUCCUGAUGUCUUCGGAUGGAUUUGAGUAAGAGCAUAGCUGUUGGGACCCGAAAGAUGGUGAACUAUGCUUGAAUAGGGUGAAGCCAGAGGAAACUCUGGUGGAGGCUCGCAGCGGUUCUGACGUGCAAAUCGAUCGUCAAAUUUGGGCAUAGGGGCGAAAGACUAAUCGAACUAUCUAGUAGCUGGUUCCUGCCGAAGUUUCCCUCAGGAUAGCAGUAACGUUUUCAGUUUUAUGAGGUAAAGCGAAUGAUUAGAGGCCUGGGGGUUGAAACAACCUU